AACCUGCCCUUGAGCGGGGGAUAACCCGGGGAAACUCGGGCUAAUACCGCAUGACAUUCCGACUUCACAAGGAGAUGGAAUCAAAGGCCCGCAAGGGUCACUCAAGGAGGGGGCUGCGGCCGAUUAGCUAGUUGGCGGGGUAAUGGCCCACCAAGGCGAUGAUCGGUAGCCGGCCUGAGAGGGCGCACGGCCACACUGGCACUGAAACACGGGCCAGACUCCUACGGGAGGCAGCAGCGGGGAAUUUUGCACAAUGCCCGAAAGGGUGAUGCAGCAACGCCGCGUGAGGGAUGAAGGCCUUCGGGUCGUAAACCUCUUUCGAUCGGGAAAAAUGGGCGGGUGAUGAGCCCGUUCUGAUGGUACCGGAAGAAGAAGCCCCGGCUAACUACGUGCCAGCAGCCGCGGUAAUACGUAGGGGGCGAGCGUUGUUCGGAAUUACUGGGCGUAAAGGGCGUGUAGGCGGUGCGAUAAGUUGGGCGUGAAAUCCCCGGGCUUAACCCGGGGCGGUCGUUCAAGACUGUCGUGCUAGAGUGCAGGAGAGGGAAGUGGAAUUCCCGGUGUAGCGGUGAAAUGCGUAGAUAUCGGGAGGAACACCUGCGGCGAAGGCGGCUUCCUGGACUGCAACUGACGCUGAGGCGCGAAAGCUAGGGGAGCAAACAGGAUUAGAUACCCUGGUAGUCCUAGCCCUAAACGAUGAAUACUGGGUGUGGCCUCGUACGGGGCUG
rnacentral:rRNA from 1 species